rnacentral:misc_RNA from 1 species
AAGUCGUAACAAGGUUUCCGUAGGUGAACCUGCGGAAGGAUCAUUCAUAAUGAGUGUUUAUGGCACUCUUCAAAAUCCAUAUCCACCUUGUGUGCAAUGUAAAAAAGGGAAAGAGAGAGAGAGAGAACAAAGUGCGAGAGUUCCGUUGUUGCGGAGCUCGAGUUUUUUUUUGGUCCUGUCUUCCUUUCUUCUUUUUAACAAAUACACCUUUCUAUUAAUCUAUUGUCUAAAGUCUAUUAUGAAUGAAAUAAUUCAAAAUACAACUUUCAACAACGGAUCUCUUGGCUCUC